UGGGGAAUUUUGGACAAUGGGCGAAAGCCUGAUCCAGCAAUGCCGCGUGUGUGAAGAAGGCCUUCGGGUUGUAAAGCACUUUUGUCCGGAAAGAAAUCCUUGGCUCUAAUACAGUCGGGGGAUGACGGUACCGGAAGAAUAAGCACCGGCUAACUACGUGCCAGCAGCCGCGGUAAUACGUAGGGUGCAAGCGUUAAUCGGAAUUACUGGGCGUAAAGCGUGCGCAGGCGGUUUGCUAAGACCGAUGUGAAAUCCCCGGGCUCAACCUAGGAACUGCAUUGGUGACUGGCAGGCUAGAGUAUGGCAGAGGGGGGUAGAAUUCCACGUGUAGCAGUGAAAUGCGUAGAGAUGUGGAGGAAUACCGAUGGCGAAGGCAGCCCCCUGGGCCAAUACUGACGCUCAUGCACGAAAGCGUGGGGAGCAAACAGGAUUAGAUACCCUGGUAGUCCACGCCCUAAACGAUGUCAACUAGUUGUUGGGGAUUCAUUUCCUUAGUAACGUAGCUAACGCGUGAAGUUGACCGCCUGGGGAGUACGGUCGCAAGAUUAAAACUUAAAUGAAUUGACGGGGUCAUAGCUGUUUCCU
rnacentral:rRNA from 1 species